rnacentral:lncRNA from 1 species
UGGGAAAUUCAUGGUUCAGAGCUUUUGGAUAAUACUUUUGCAUGUGCCAAAAUUAGUUACAUGGUGCAGAAUCAUCUUGUGCAUUCUGAUCGUAUCCAGGUAUUCUGAAUCCCUUUGAAUUCUUUCAAAAGCAAUCCUGGGUAAUGCUUGCAACAAUCUCUCUCUCUCUGACGAGAAGACAGGAUGAAACUUGGGGAAACUGGGUGUGUUGCACAGUUAAAACCUUUUGAAUGAUUCGAAGACAUCAUGAAGCUCAUUUUACAGCCUGCGGACGGCGUUUGUCUGGAGGACGAGCUUCACAAAGUAAGUUGAAGCAGAUUUUAAUCUUGCAGAUAGAUUUUGCCAACGGCAUGCAAUCUCUAGAAUCCCUUGAAGGACCGGCACUUCCAGUUAUUUGCAUUUCCAUUUUUAUUUUGGGGUUAUGAUUAUGGAUGAAGCCUCUCACCUGCAAAUAUCGAUAGUAUUUAAUGGAUGAGCUGUUAGGAGUCCUAAAAAAAUAUUUGGAAUGAAACUUGUGCUAUUUGAAACUACAAGCAGUGGUGCAUCCCUGAAGUUUGCUGGAUUGGGCUCUUGCUGCACGUUACAUCAGAUGGCAAUGCUUCGAAAAUGAAAUGGAAUAAGGCACGAACCUAUUUAUUUUAGAGAAACCAAACUGGCGCUGGGUCCUAACCUUCGGAGACUCAUAUUCCCGAUAUGCAAAGAACCCAUGGUUAUCUUAAAACAGGAUUUGAAAUUUCAAGCACAUCACACAAUCCACAAACAAUUCAGAAGAUGCAGGACUGAAACAUUUUCUAUCCAUAAUUUUCUUAUUCUUUUUAAAAUCCUUAGCAAUUUUAAAGUUUACAAGCUAUUCAAAAGUAUUUGUUUGGUACCAUGACCCAAACUGAGUUUGUUUUACUCAUCGGUGAUGGAAACUUCCCGCAUCGGUGGUGGAAACUUGUGGAGAGCUUUGUUCAAUAAUUAACUGACGUCAGUGGAGAAUGUUUCAACCAUGACAGGGCUUGCGAAGCAGCCAACUCCGUUCCAGAAAUGGAAAGAAUGAUGGGAUGGCCCCCAUUUCCGCAACUGAGGUAGCCCAUAUUUUGUGGCCCCAUAACCAUCCGGCUUUCAGGGCUCUGGUUUUGAGGUUUGACCCAGUUUUCAGCCGUCAUUCCUGCCUCGGCCUCACCCCCGCCGAAGACAGUAAAAAAGAGAGGUUGUCUCCCGAACUCUCACUCUCCUUCGAAUGAAAACACACACUUUCACCUCAUUUUCACCAUCACCCGUUGACCUCCUCAUCGUAGUAUGAGUCGCCGAAUGACGUUAUGGUCGUCCCAGUGAGCUCAAGUCACGGCCUCACCAUGCUUCACAGACCAGAUUUACUCUUAUCUUUGUAGACCCUAAACCACCAUGUUUAUUUGCCAAGUUUGCUUUCAAGCUUUAGCGUUUUGUAGCACUCGGGUUUCGCAUUGUAAUCUUUCUGUUUUGGGGAUACUUCACAGUGCGUUGUGCUCGAGCUUCUUCAUAAGAAGACGAUCGAGGACACAACCUUUAAAUCAACAAAAUCAAAACUAGCAACAAUUAAAUCAAAACUUAUGGCUACAAUUGCGAUUAUGAAAUAUCUACAUGAUUUUUUUUUUUUUUUGAUUGGUUUGAAAAAUAUUGAACAAAGGCUACAUAUGUUGGAUGGAGGUAUCAAUAGCAUUAGCAACACCUUACAUACACACAUGUUAACAAACUAUUCAACGAAACUGGUUCCUAACUGUGAGCAAAUAUGUUUGUGUGUGUAGUCUAAUGUGGGAUAUUUGGCAAGAAGGAUCAAGAUGAAGACAUGUGGAACCUUUUUACCAGUCAGAGGGAGCCUAGAAAUCUGAGCUCCCUUCAUUUGGACACACAGGAAAAAAUCCUCCACUCAAAUUGAUAUGUGGGAGAUUGUUAGGAAUCUGGUUAAAUAGAGAGUGUCUACUGAGAUGGCUCUCAACAACAUGGAGACUGGAGUUUAUCCAAAAAAAAGGGUCAGAAUUGAAACUACUUUGUUCCCAUGGUGUUGUUUACAUGUGUGUACAAUAUAUGGUUUGGUGAUUGAUGAAGCAAGGCUUGUUGGAAGAGCAGGCAGUGUGAAAUUAGGGUUAGAAGUUAGGUAGAUAGAUCGAUGUGCUUUGUCCAGGAAGCCAUCCAGCAACCAAUCCACCUGCAUGCCACCCAUUUUCCAAAAAGGUAUGAGUUCACCAUUCCAGAUGACAUUUUUUUUUAUCGUCAGGAAUGUGCCUAUGGUGCUUCUUAAGGAGGUGUUUCCAUGUAACACACAUUGAUAGCAAUAUAUAAAAUAAUAUAUAAAUACUGCUUUUUAGACCAUUUACUGUGCAGCAGUGGCCAGAAUAUGAUCAGCCAUGGGACCAUCCAAAAACAAAGGACUUAUUCAUUGUCUUUAUUUUGAGAUUCCUCACACUCCUUUCUUUACAUGGGGUAUCUCCACCAGUGCCCUACUAAAUGGGUGUGCCAUUGGGUUUGGGAUGGUGGGCUCACAAUUAAACCUAAUUCCAACCCAGGAAUAGGUCCCACAGGUACCCACAGUUUAGUGACCUGGAAGAAAGGAUGCUUGCCAUGCAGAGACAAAAUAUACAGAGCUGAACUAAAUACUGAAGAAAAAAUAAAUAAAAAUAAAAGGCAUUAAAAGAGGCAGUGUUCAAAACUGUCUAAGACUGAAUUCAAAACUAUUCAAGGACUUGGAAAGGACAUCCUCCCAAAAUUCAACAUAUUUAAAACAAUUUGGUCUCUAUUAUGUAGCAUUUUUUCUUAUAGAAAAUAUGAUCAAACUUCCUACACAACAGUAGAAUGCAUUGGAAACUCAUUUUAGACAAACUGUACAAUUAAGAAAACAAUAGCAAAGCCAUGCUAUAUGGUUAAGAUAAAAACAUGGAUAACCUAGCAUAUGUUAGGUGCUAGACACAACAAAUCCAUUAGGUUAUAUUUAAUUCCUCCUUAUGUUCACAUAAUUGUUCUCGUGAGUUUAGCAACUAACAUAUUAUAAUACUCACUCUAGUAGUAGAAGUGAUAGUGUUUCAUUCACUACCCAAUUUCUAGGUCUACAAUCCUUGAUUGCAAUAUACUGAACCUUUACAAUCAAUGAAUUGGAUAAACCUGGCCAUGUUCAAAAGAAAAAAAACAAAACUGUCCAAGGGCAAGUACCACCUCCAACAAAGAAGUAUAUUACACCCCAAAUUUGCCUUCAUGUAGCGGGGCCUGUACCCAUUUUGGCAAUGAGCAGGAGGCAAUGGGUGGAGCAUUUGAUCAUACCAAUUUUGGUUCAGAAAUGCCAUAAAUUUUGGUUUGAGUAUGUUGAAGAGACUUGGUGGAGAUGCUCUUAUUACUUCUUCUUUUUUAAUGUUUUAUUACCAUGUCAAAGGCACAUUACUGACCUUUUGCCAGCCACAUGUGUAUCUGCAAACAUCCAUAUUCUUUUUGUCAGGAAUUGUUGCAUGUGUGUUAAAAACAUGUCCAGGGAAACUUGGAAUUGGGGAUACAUCUCUGGCUGGCAAUCACAGUGAAGAAAUUCUGAGCCAUCAGUUCGGCCAACUUGUAUUGUGUCAAAAACACACAAACACACAAACAAACAAACAAACAUACAUCAACAACAACAACAGAGGCUAUUGUAGACAAUUUGCAAACUGGGCUGGUCAAACAAUGAGAAGGCCAUGUGGCCACCAUGUGGGCAAUUGCAGCUCUCUCACAUGUACCCCCAGUUUCAGAGUGUUUGAUGUACAGAUGGUGGUGGCAAGGAGACCAUAAGCCACCACACAUAUAUUAGAAAAAUGAACAAGUAAAGUAUAAUAGUAUAUGAAUAAAUAAAUAAACAAAGAUUGGUGGUGCAAUGGAAAGUCAUUAAAUUAUUUCCCUUCUCUUUGCUUUGGCAGGGAAAGGGUGUGAGAGUGGUCAACCUGGAUGUGGGGUAUGAAUGGAUUAAUGGAUGAGUGAGAGUUGGUUAUUUCACUCAUCUUCCUCUUGAGUGCACUCCUCAUCUUCCUUCCUUUAUUCUUAAUUGUGGUGUUUGUAUUCACAUGAAUAUAUAUAUAUAUAUAUAUAUAUAUAUAUUUGUAUUUGUUCAUACAUACAAGAAUAUAUAUAUUAUUGGGUGGUUGGGACCUGAUUUUUUUAUGGUGAGCAAAUCAUGUGGAAAUUCCUUUGUAAGUAUGUUUCAACCCAUAAUUAUAUCGGCACAAUUUGAGAUAUAUACUACUUUUAACUCAAUGUGCUGAUGAAAUCAAUCAUUUGUCUAUGUCUGCAAUUGAAAAGCUGUGACCUCAACUGUAAGAGUUGUUGAUGACAUUGUUUUUUCUUUUAUAUCUGGCUGUCUCUACCAGGAUGAGUUGGAGAAAUCAUUUUCAUAAGGAAUCACCUUAUGCUUUUGUUGGUUGAUUUUUUUCUAUUGUUUCAACAUGAUUUUGACUUUUGUUCACCAUCCUGUGUACAACAAGCAACAUGAGCCAAAUACUUCUAAAAGAAACAACAAACAAACAAAGAAUGGAAUGUAAACCUUAUGGGUACCAUGUGUACAUUCCUUUGUGAUUCCUUUAAUUUGCCCAUCCCUUAUAGUCUUCAAUUGGUAAGACAAUUCAAUUGUUUAUUAUGAACCAUCACCUUUCCUUUCUUUUCUUUCUUUCUUUCUUUUUACAGUGGAUUUGAGAGAGGUGGUAGAUGAAUAAAUAUUAAAAUAAAAUUUCAAAUAAAUUUCUGAUGACAAGAACAGUAGAAUAAGCAACACCAAAAUUAACUUUAACACACCAAUCACAACCUUCAUUUUGUUUAUUUCUUUCUUUUCUUUUCUUUUCUAUUACAACUUCACUAAAAAGAUAGUAGGUUUUUCUUUGAACACAUAGUAAAUAACAUAAGAAACCAUGUGGAUGUUUUACCAAUGUGCAUGAUCAAUCAUGUUUUUGAAAACUAGUAAUGUGCAAAGAUUCCUUAGGGCUUGUAGGAGACAAGGUGUUUUGUGAAGUAUGUUGGGCAUUUGUAUGUGAAAAUGGAUGGUGAGAAGGGUGAGGUAGCACCUUUGUCUCACACUCAAGGUUCCUUGUUGCCUACAUCAUCAUGGCUCAAAGUUGGAUAUUCUCUCAAUUAUUGCAAUUUUUACCACGUUGAGUGGGUUUAAGGCUUUUUAUGGACAUUUUUGGGUUAUUUCCAUGCACGAAUUACAUGGUUUGAAGUUGCACACAAAAUCAUUUGCAAACAAACUUGCCACAAUUGUAAACUACUUGGACAUGGAAAAAUACUUUUUGUGAUGAAAGGAUUGUACUUGAAAACAUAAGCCUAAAGCUCACAAAUGCAGUUAAGAAAUCUUAGAGACUACAUGAUUGUUUGCUAAAUAUAAUAAAGAAUUGCACAUGAUGUUGAAGAUGAAAAUUGUGCAUCAUUCUGAAGACUAAAAGAUUUAGGGCUGUUGACUGGAUUUUGAAGGAGACAUUCCUAAAGUAAAAAAAGUAUACUACAAUAGUUAAUACUAAUCUAAACAUUUCAUCAUGAAUAUGAUGUUUUGGGGUUCAUUGAAAAGAUAUUAACAGUGGCAUAAAUGUCUUUGAUUUGGUUAAGAAUUAUCGAUUGUCAGUUUUUAUCAAUAUCAAUUGAUUGUCAUCUAUUUGCGUUUUCAUUGAGUUUUGAAUAUUCAAUUACAUCUUUUCAAUGAACAAGAGUCUGGGAUGAUGGAUACUACAACACCAAACACAGAUACUUUAGAAGUUAUAAAAGAAAAACUGGGAAAACUUCACAUUUUUGUUAACAUCUUUUCAGUGCAAGAGAAGAGUACCCCAUUAAUAAUUUUGAGAAACCCCAUUUGCUUCCAUAUUUCAAGUUUACAAAACUUUUCCUCUUUCAUGAGUAUCAUGUAACACAUUACACUUGACAACCUUAUUGUUGAAUGACCUGUUAAUGCUUGUGCAACAGUUGUUUCAAUGCAGACAGCUUAUGAAAAUUUACUUUCUUGCACAAGCAUUUUUAUCAUUUUUACUUUCAUUUUCACAUCCAGUUAAGAAAUAGGCUCUUUAGAGCAUCUACAAUACACAUGACAGAGCACCCAUCUUAAAAAAAAAGUGGUUUUGGACUUCAUGAAUCUUCUUCAAUUUAGGCCUCCUUUUAGAAAAGAAGAGCAAGUGGUGCCUAAUUGAGUGCCUCAAUGCCUGUAAAUGAAGCAACCUCAGAAUGUGGGUAAGCCUACAGCAUUCCAAUUUUAUGAUGAUUCUCACAUGAGGUCCUUGCUUAAUCACCUCCUUAAAGCAUAUUUUCAUGUAGUCUGUCUCUUUUCAUUUCUGUCUAGCCUGUUGUCACAUGCCCAAGUGAACAUAAACAUGCAUUGUAUUUUAUUUUUUCUGAAAGAAAAUGAUGCACAAAUUUGAGAGCGUGGGGAUGAGAUCUCACUCCCAUUCUCAUCAGAAAAUGCCAAAAAGUAGGAUCCAACACCUCCUGAAUGUUUCAAAAGGCAAUUUGUCUUGGAUGGUGAAAAACCUUUUGUCUCUUGUAGAGCAGUCUGCCUUACGAAGGGAUCAUCGCUAAGAGGUAGUUUCUUUUAAUGUUUGGAAUCAGUAAUAAGAAAAAAAUAAUACGAAGAAAGUAAACAGUGGAGGGAAAAAAACGGAGAAUAGGACACAGCUCGGGUUUCCAGUUGAUUUUUUUGCAAGGUUUGAAUUGCCCAACUCACACUGUUCCUUUUUCAAUGGUUCUUUUUAAUCAAAUAAUGCCUGGCCAGUCUGUUUUUG